AUGGUCAAAAUAAACCAAAAGAAAGACAAGAAGGUCUCAAUCUCCUGUUCUACCAGUCUGCUCUACCCAUCUGCCUUACACCACAAAGCUUAUGAAUGGACACACAUGGUGGCAGCAUGCCCUUGUUGUGGAGGCCUUGACCUGCUGCAAGGACUUGGAGGGCUCCUUCUUCUCCCUGCUGGGCUGCCUGGGUCUCCCUGAGUGCCUUGGUGGUGGUGAGAGUGAGGAUGGGCUUAGAAAGGAGCAAUUGUUCCAACCUGCUGGAAGUGGAGGAAGUGGGAACUGAUGGCUAAUUAACUUAGCACUCAGCACGGCUGUUGUCCCGUGAAAAUGGCAACAAGUGUGAUGGAUCCCUACAGAAUUGGCUCUGGUCUGGAAAUGAGAAGAAAUUGACUGUGAGGGAGAAGAUAAAUGACAAGGAAAAAAUCAUUCUGUAAGGAAAAAACAUGUCGGGGGAAAAAGGAAGGAAAGAAGGACCAGAGGUGGCUGCUGCUUGUUGCUGUGGUUUCAUGGAUUUUAGUCCUUUCCUUCUAUAGUUAACUCUUUUCUAGACUGGAGAGUUGUAGUUAUUUAACCCUCCACAUAUGGGACUGCAGGAUCAGCCUUGUUGCCUUUCACUGCACCUCUUGCAAUUGCACCAUAUCCUCUUUAAGGUAAAGGAGCAACUGCUUGCAGCAAUCAGGAUGUAGGGGAAGCACAGAAGACUUACUGCAAUGUAGUGAUGUUCUCUAGUUUGUUCUUUCCUCGUAAUAAUUUCCAAUGAUGGAUUUUUUUAAUUGCUACUGUGUAAUGAGCUCAUGUUUCACAGAUCCAUCUGUCACAACCCCAAGGUAUUGCUUCUGUGUGGUAAUGGUCAGCUCGGAGCCCAUCAUUUUCUAUAGGAAGUUUGGAUUUUUUCCCCCUUUGUGAGGCCCUUUACAUUUAUCUACAUCAAAUUUCAUCUGCUAUUUGAUGACCUGUCACUGUGUCAUAAAGUUGUUUUGCAGUUCAUCCUGAUGCUCUCAAAAUUAGCGUCGUCGGCAAACUUCCUCACCUCGCUGCUUGUGCCCUUUUCCAGGUCAUUUGUGAGCAUCCAUUUUUAAUGGCACAGAUCUCUCCAGGGCUCCCGUGCUGACCUUGCUCUCUUGCAGGAUCUGACCACUUAUUCCCAGUUUCCUAGCUCUUAACUGGGAUAUAUCCUUGCAAGGACUUUGCUUCUCCUGUAUUUCCUGACUUUCCUAAAUGGCCUGAGUCAAUGCUUUCAGAAAUAGAUUUCAAAAAGCCGCUGUUGGCUGAAAUUUGCAUCUUUCCUGAAAACAAGAUGGAAAGAAGAUGAAAACACAAAUUCCUACUUUUUAUUCAUCCAAUCAGAUUUCCCCUCUCCUUCCCGUAUUUCACCACCUGAAGGAUUUUGAGAGUAAAUACAUUUGAUUCUAUGUGGGGAAUGUCAAAAACUCUUCUGGGAAGGGAAAAUUGUUUCCUGACCGCUCUUCUACUGGUGAAUAAAUGUGCUCAAAUUGAGCUGUGCUUCCUCUCU
rnacentral:lncRNA from 1 species